GACGAACGCUGCGCGGCGCCUAACACAUGCAAGUCGAACGAGCGAGAGGAGAGGCUUAGGCUUUCUCGAGCGAGUGGCGAACGGGUGAGUAACGCGUGAGGAACCUGCCUCAAAGAGGGGGACAACAGUUGGAAACGACUGCUAAUACCGCAUGACAAUAGGGUACACAUGUACCCUAUUUAAAAGGGGCAAACGCUUCACUAUGAGAUGGACCUGCGUUGUAUUAGCUAGUUGGUAAGGUAACGGCUUACCAAGGCGACGAUACAUAGCCGACCUGAGAGGGUGAUCGGCCACACUGGGACUGAGACACGGCCCAG
rnacentral:rRNA from 1 species